UGGUCAAGUUAUUAAGGGUGCAGGGCGGAUGCCUUGGCACUAGGAGCCGAUGAAGGACGUGAUAAGCUGCGAUAAGCUUCGGGGAGUUGCACGUAAACUUUGAUCCGAAGAUUUCCGAAUGAGGAAACUCACUUAGAGUAAUGUCUAAGUAUCAUUAAGUGAAUACAUAGCUUAAUGAGGGGAACUCAGGGAACUGAAACAUCUAAGUACCUGAAGGAAGAGAAAGAAAUUCGAUUCCGUAAGUAGCGGCGAGCGAACGCGGAUUAGCCCAAACCAAUAAAGUUUUCUUUAUUGGGGUUGCGGACAUAUCAUAACGAAGAGGUAUCGUAAUUGAAGAGGUUUGGAAAGACCCACCACAGAAGGUAAUAGUCCUGUAUGUUAAACGAAAAGACUUUAGAUAUGAUCCAGAGUACCACGGGACACGUGAAACCCUGUGGGAAGCAGGAGGGACCACCCUCCAAGGCUAAAUACUACCUAGUGACCGAUAGCGUAUAGUACCGUGAGGGAAAGGUGAAAAGAACCCCGGGAGGGGAGUGAAAUAGAACCUGAAACCCUGCACUUACAAGCUGUGGAAGCACAUUUCUUGUGUGACCGCGUACUUUUUGUAGAACGGGCCAACGAGUUACGUUAAGUAGCAAGGUUAAGCACUUAAGGUGCGGAGCCGUAGCGAAAGCGAGUUUUAACUGAGCGUUCAGUUACUUGACGUAGACCCGAAACCGGGCGACCUACCCAUGAGCAGGAUGAAGCGAAAGUAAAAUUUCGUGGAGGUCCGAACCCACGAGCGUUGAAAAGCUCGGGGAUGACUUGUGGGUAGCGGUGAAAUUCCAAUCGAGCCCGGAGAUAGCUGGUUCUCCCCGAAAUAGCUUUAGGGCUAGCCUCAAGGUGAGAGAUACGGAGGUAGAGCACUGAAUGUCCUAGGGGGUAUUGCACCUACCGAAGACUAUCAAACUCCGAAUGCCGUCAUCUUAUACUUGGGAGUCAGACUGUGGGUGAUAAGAUUCAUAGUCGAAAGGGCAACAGCCCAGAUCGUCAGCUAAGGUCCCUAAAUGUAAGUUAAGUGGUAAAGGAUGUGGGAUUGCACAGACAACCAGGAUGUUGGCUUAGAAGCAGCCACUCAUUCAAAGAGUGCGUAAUAGCUCACUGGUCGAGUGAUCCUGCGCCGAAGAUUUCCGGGGCUAAAACUUACUACCGAAGCUACGGCAUCAGUAAUGAUGGGUAGGGGAGCUUCCCAUACGGGUUGAAGCAUGACCGUAAGGACAUGUGGACAGUAUGGGAGUGAGAAUGUUGGCAUGAGUAGCGAGAUGUGGGUGAGAAUCCCACAGGCCGUAAACCCAAGGUUUCCAGGGGAAGGUUCGUCCGCCCUGGGUUAGUCGGGACCUAAGCUGAGGCCGAAAGGCGUAGGUGAUGGACAACAGGUUGAUAUUCCUGUACUACCGAUAACCGUUUGAGAGAAGGGAUGACACAGUAGGAUAAGCUAAGCACACUGUUGGUUAUGUGUGCCCAAGCAUUGAGGCAGUCAAAGUAGGCAAAUCCGCUUUGAUAAUGCUGGGAUGUGAUGGGGAGCGAAAUUUAGUAGCGAAGUAGCUGAUUUCACACUGUCAAGAAAAGUCUCUAUCGAGGUUAAAGGUACCCGUACCGCAAACCGACACAGGUGGGUGAGGAGAGUAUCCUAAGGCCAGCGAGAGAACUGUUGUUAAGGAACUCGGCAAAAUGACCCCGUAACUUAGGGAUAAGGGGUGCCACCAUCAGGUGGCCGCAGAGAAUAGGCCCAAGCGACUGUUUACCAAAAACAUAGGUUUCUGCUAAGUCGCAAGACGAUGUAUAGGAGCUGACGCCUGCCCGGUGCUGGAAGGUUAAGGGGAUCUGUUAGAGCAAUCGAAGCAGUGAACUUAAGCCCCAGUAAACGGCGGCCGUAACUAUAACGGUCCUAAGGUAGCGAAAUUCCUUGUCGGGUAAGUUCCGACCCGCACGAAAGGCGUAACGAUUUGGGCACUGUCUCAACAACAGACUCGGUGAAAUUGUAAUUCCGGUGAAGAUGCCGGAUACCUGCGACAGGACGGAAAGACCCCAUGGAGCUUUACUGUAGCUUGACAUUGGGUCUUGGUACUACAUGUACAGGAUAGGUGGGAGGCUUUGAAACCAGGACGCCAGUUUUGGCGGAGCCAUCCUUGGGAUACCACCCUUGUAGUACUGGGACUCUAACCAUAGGCCAUGAAUCUGGUCUUGGGACACUGUCAGGUGGGCAGUUUGACUGGGGCGGUCGCCUCCCAAAAGGUAACGGAGGCGCUCAAAGGUUCUCUCAGUACGGUCGGAAAUCGUACGUAGAGUGUAAAGGCAAAAGAGAGCUUGAUUGCAAGACAUACAGGUCGAGCAAGGAUGAAAAUCGGACUUAGUGAUCCGGUGGUUCUGCGUGGAAGGGCCAUCGCUCAACGGAUAAAAGCUACCCUGGGGAUAACAGGCUUAUCUCCCCCAAGAGUCCACAUCGACGGGGAGGUUUGGCACCUCGAUGUCGGCUCAUCACAUCCUGGGGCUGUAGUAGGUCCCAAGGGUUGGGCUGUUCGCCCAUUAAAGUGGUACGCGAGCUGGGUUCAGAACGUCGUGAGACAGUUCGGUCCCUAUCCGUCGCAGGCGUAGGAAAUUUGAGAAGACCUGUCCUUAGUACGAGAGGACCGGGAUGGACGUACCUCUGGUGUACCAGUUGUUCUGCCAAGGGCAUGGCUGGGUAGCUAUGUACGGAAUGGAUAAGCGCUGAAAGCAUCUAAGCGCGAAGCCAACUUCAAGAUAAGAUUUCCCACCGCAAGGGUAAGACCCCAGAAAGACUAUCUGGUUGAUAGGUCGAAGGUGUAAGUGCAGCAAUGUAUUUAGCUUAUCGAUACUAAUAGGUCGAGGACUUGACCAAU
rnacentral:rRNA from 1 species